ACCGACUUCACUAAAAAAGUUAAAAAUAACUUUAAUUUCGGAAGUCGGUGUUUCUCGGUAUUAUUUGUUUGUUACACCGACUUCCGAAAUUAAAGUUAUUUUUAACUUUUUUAGUGAAGUCGGUUUAUUUUUUUGUAAAAAGUAUUUUAUUUCACACUUUUUAGUCGGUUAAAAUUCUCCGUCUCAAUAACUACUUUAUUUAUUUGUAUUGUCACUUAAUUAACUUUAUUGUGAUUUCUAUGUGAGUAUGAAGUUCCAUUGGCCAUUUCUGGUCUUCUUCAUCAGUUCCACCUCUUCAAAGGUUACUUUUUGACUGUAAAUGCUUCAAUUCUAGAUGAAUAUACCAAAAUCACUAUAUAGUUCCCUAUAAUAUUUGAGGAGUUCCCUCGAUUUCUCUAAGAUCCCAUCAUCAGAUCCUAACUUGGUGACAAUGGGACCACCUCAGAACUAUCUACUUUCGAACAAAAAAAGAAUUUUGAAAAUCCGUCGACAAUUGACGGAGUAUUCGAUGAACAAACAUACAAAAAAAAAAAAAAAAAAAAAAAAAACAUACAAACAGCCGAACAUAGUACCUCCUCCUUUUUGUGAAGUCGGUAAAAAACAAA